rnacentral:lncRNA from 1 species
AAGGAUAUCUACCAGAAGUUAGGAUUCACAUCACAAGGGACAAGUGCUGCAAAGAUAAAAAGAAUAUGCUGUAAGAAUAUCUAUCAUGUAUAAUCAGAAGCAAAGAAAUUUAAUCUAAUCCACAUGCUGGAAAUUCCUCUUGUGCUACCAAGAUUUUUCUACAGUCCAUGGAAAAUUGAGAUUAAGUAUGAAUUCUCUUAUCUGCAGCUACAUAAGUCCAGGGUAACUCCAUUGAAGUUGGUGGACAUGAUGAGACAGAAGGUG